AUCGAUGUCUGCAGACGACUGUUGGUGCACUUUCAGGUGUUUUCAAUUACCGUGUAUUGAGAUGCGUGCGGCAUGUCUGAUAUUUACAUGUUUCAGGCCCUCUUUAAUCGAGCCUGUUCAUGGACAGCUUUGUGAAGUGCAAUCUACUGUCCUACCCCUUAGCAUUGGUUUGUCAGGACAUACAGGAGCUGGCCAGGCUAGAGGGGACUGAUCAGUCAGCCGACCAGAUCAUGACCUGGAUUACUGGCAACCUUUCUACCAGUAAUUCAGCUCUUUACAGAAUUGCUGCUGUGGGUCUCCUCCUCCCAACCUCUACUGCAGAUUGUGAGAGAGGAUGCAGCUGCCUGAAGAGAGUUAAGACUUAAAACAGGAAUUGUCUCUCUGUUAAAGUUCUAAACUAUCUUCUUGCCGUCUCCCUUCAAGGACCCCCAUUAGAAUCUUUUAACUUUGAGAAGGCAGUCAAUGCAUGGAAGGACAACAAGCCUAGAAGACAGGCCCACUUUUAAUGAUGUUAAUGAAGAAAAAACAACUGAAAAUACUCAUUUAAAUGGAACACACACAUACAUAUAAAUGUUGAUCACAUGUUGUGAACUUGUGUUUAUAUAUAAUUGUUUAUUUAUUUGAAUUGUUGGAAAUGGAAAAAGUAAAUAAUAAAAAAUUAAGAAAAUGUU